GCAGUCGUGGCCGAGUGGUUAAGGCGAUGGUCUAGAAAUCCAUUGGGGUCUCCCUGGACAGGUUUGAAUCCUGUCGACUGCG
rnacentral:tRNA from 1 species